AGAGUUUGAUCAUGGCUCAGGAUGAACGCUAGCGGCAGGCUUAAUACAUGCAAGUCGAGGGGCAGCAGGACGGUAGCAAUACCGUUGCUGGCGACCGGCAAACGGGUGCGGAACACGUACGCAACUUACCCAUAACUGGGGGAUAGCCCGGGGAAACCCGGAUUAAUACCUCGUAACAUCAUGAAGUGGCAUCGCUUUAUGAUUAUAGCUCCGGCGGUUAUGGAUGGGCGUGCGCCUGAUUAGGUAGUUGGCGGGGUAACGGCCCACCAAGCCUACGAUCAGUAACUGGUGUGAGAGCACGACCAGUCACACGGGCACUGAGACACGGGCCCGACUCCUACGGGAGGCAGCAGUAAGGAAUAUUGGUCAAUGGACGCAAGUCUGAACCAGCCAUGCCGCGUGAAGGAUGAAGGUCCUCUGGAUUGUAAACUUCUUUUAUAUGGGACGAAACCCGGGCAUUCCUGCCCGAUUGACGGUACCAUAGGAAUAAGCACCGGCUAACUACGUGCCAGCAGCCGCGGUAAUACGUA
rnacentral:rRNA from 1 species